AGUCGAGCGAGACCUUCGGGUCUAGCGGCGGACGGGUUAGUAACGCGUGGGAAUAGACCCUUCACUACGGAAUAGCCUCGGGAAACUGGGAGUAAUACCGUAUACGCCCUUUUGGGGAAAGAUUUAUCGGUGAAGAAUUAGCCCGCGUCUGAUUAGAUAGUUGGUGGGGUAAUGGCCUACCAAGUCUACGAUCAGUAGCUGGUUUGAGAGGAUGAUCAGCAACACUGGGACUGAGACACGGCCCAGACUCCUACGGGAGGCAGCAGUGGGGAAUCUUAGACAAUGGGCGCAAGCCUGAUCUAGCCAUGCCGCGUGAGUGACGAAGGCCUUAGGGUCGUAAAGCUCUUUCGCCAGAGAUGAUAAUGACAGUAUCUGGUAAAGAAACCCCGGCUAACUCCGUGCCAGCAGCCGCGGUAAUACGGAGGGGGUUAGCGUUGUUCGGAAUUACUGGGCGUAAAGCGCACGUAGGCGGAUUGGAAAGUAUGGGGUGAAAUCCCAGGGCUCAACCCUGGAACUGCCUUGUAAACUCCCAGUCUAGAGUUCGAGAGAGGUGAGUGGAAUUCCAAGUGUAGAGGUGAAAUUCGUAGAUAUUUGGAGGAACACCAGUGGCGAAGGCGGCUCACUGGCUCGAUACUGACGCUGAGGUGCGAAAGUGUGGGGAGCAAACAGGAUUAGAUACCCUGGUAGUCUACACCGUAAACGAUGAAUGCCAGACGUCAGGGGGCUUGCCCUUUGGUGUCCCACCUAACGGAUUAAGCAUUCCGCCUGGGGAGUACGGUCCCCAGAUUAAAACUCAAAGGAAUUGACGGG
rnacentral:rRNA from 1 species